AUAAUGGGUCAGCGACUUAUAUUCUGUAGCAAGGUUAACCGAAUAGGGGAGCCGAAGGGAAACCGAGUCUUAACUGGGCGUUAAGUUGCAGGGUAUAGACCCGAAACCCGGUGAUCUAGCCAUGGGCAGGUUGAAGGUUGGGUAACACUAACUGGAGGACCGAACCGACUAAUGUUGAAAAAUUAGCGGAUGACUUGUGGCUGGGGGUGAAAGGCCAAUCAAACCGGGAGAUAGCUGGUUCUCCCCGAAAGCUAUUUAGGUAGCGCCUCGUGAAUUCAUCUCCGGGGGUAGAGCACUGUUUCGGCAAGGGGGUCAUCCCGACUUACCAACCCGAUGCAAACUGCGAAUACCGGAGAAUGUUAUCACGGGAGACACACGGCGGGUGCUAACGUCCGUCGUGAAGAGGGAAACAACCCAGACCGCCAGCUAAGGUCCCAAAGUCAUGGUUAAGUGGGAAACGAUGUGGGAAGGCCCAGACAGCCAGGAUGUUGGCUUAGAAGCAGCCAUCAUUUAAAGAAAGCGUAAUAGCUCACUGGUCGAGUCGGCCUGCGCGGAAGAUGUAACGGGGCUAAACCAUGCACCGAAGCUGCGGCAGCGACGCUUAUGCGUUGUUGGGUAGGGGAGCGUUCUGUAAGCCUGCGAAGGUGUGCUGUGAGGCAUGCUGGAGGUAUCA
rnacentral:rRNA from 1 species